AACCCAUAUUCUCCCCUUCUUACUAUUUAGUUCAACCCUUUGAGAAACUUAACUCACUAUGGUUUUAAGAGAUAAGAACUUAAGAAGUCUAAGUUCAUUCUUAUGAAAUCUUGAAUUAGAUCCAAAGCUUUAAAGGAGGAUUUGGAGAAAUCAAUUCCUUAAGAACAGCUGCUGAUACAAAUAAAGAUAUUGUUUCUUUCUUUGAUUAAUGAAGUGACAAAAUUGAAGCCAUAAAUAGGAGCUUUUUCUGGAGAGGGACUGAGGAGUCUAAAGCUUAUCAUAUUGUGGCUUGGCAGAAAAUUUGUAGAGUCUAAAGCUUAUCCAUUUGUCUAUCACACCUUUUAUUCUAUACGAGCUCUGAAUCUAUAGGAACAAAAUAAGAUUCGAAGAAAAAGUGCUUAGAAGAGAGGAAAUGAUGAGAGAGGUCAUUGAUCAUGCUAGAGCUCUAUGGAAUGAAUGGCAGAAAACAAUACCCAGCAUAAUACUCUAAAUAACUGUUCAUCUAGUGUGGCAGAUGAGGACCCUGACUGUGCAUAUAUUUAUUCUGAUGCUGCUUUUGAUAAAGCUUCUAACAGAUUUGCUGCAGCUGCGGUUUUGAAGCAUUAUAAUGAUGAAAGGGUUGUGACUAUUGUUUACAGGAGAGGUCGAGCACGCUCUGUAGCAUAAGCUGAGUUGAUAGGAGUCCAGAUAGGUUGUGAGCUGGCCAAGAGGAGAAAGAUAACAAGGAUAAAGAUAAAAGGAGACUUCCAGCAUAUAAUGCAGAAGUUGUCGCAGAGAAGGCCAGAAGAACUGCAUCAGUCCUGUAUUCCUAUCUUUGAUGCAGUUUUAGAGUUAUGUAAUAGUUUAGAAGUAGUUCAGUUCAGUUGGAUAAGUAGGGAGUUAAAUAAGGAAGCUCAUGAAACUGCUAGAUGGACUUUACAUAAUCUAGCUAUGGGACCUUUCCCUGAAGUUGUACUACAAGCUAUUGAACCUAUUUCUAUUAUUUAAUAAAUGAUCCAAUUAGCAAAAAAAAGAUUAAUGAAGUGGUUAUUGAAGACUAAUUGAAAAUUUUGUUUCGGUUCUAAAGAAUUACCACAAGUUGAUUCGCAAAAUCAGAGGGUUGUAAUCAGAGGAAGUAAACUA
rnacentral:lncRNA from 1 species